CGCACCCCGGAGGCCCCGCCCCCAACGGCGGCGGCCGAGGUGAAGAGCGGAGCCGGGAACUGACGCGGUGGCGACAGACCAGAUGGACGCUAAGAAGUCUGCUCGUGUGACAUUUCUGGCCGCUGCCCGCCCCUGUUUACGGGCUUGCUCAUUGCGGUGACCAGUGUGUGGGGAGGGGGAGGAGGAGUGCACACCGUCUCGUCUGUCACCGAGGUCCCCUGUAGGGAGGAGACUUGGCCUGUGACCCCCUCACCCACGGAAAAGUCCACUCCUUGAAAGGCUUCCCUUCUUUCAUUUCAAGCCCCGUGUGCCCAUCAGGUGCUGAGUCACACCUCUCACAUGCCAAAAACGAAGAAACUCCUGGGAAGUUGGAGAGAACUGGGAAAAGAGAGUGGGCAGCUUUAUCUGGUUGAUGAAUCCCAGCUUUCAACGUCACUCUGCUGACAGGACACACCUAGGUUUGAAACCCAGCAUUGCCACUUGUCAACCGUUCCUGGAUGAAUGGAUAAAGAAGAUGUGGUGUAUAUCUGUACAAUGGAAUACUACUCAGCCAUUAAAAAUAAUGAAAUAACACCAUUUGCAGCAAAAUGGAUGGACCAAG
ensembl:lncRNA